rfam:Ornithorhynchus anatinus chromosome 10, whole genome shotgun sequence.
AGUAGCAUGGCUCAGUGGAAAGAGCCUGGGCUUGGGAACCAGAGGUCAUGGGUUCGAAUCCCAGCUCUGCCA